AAUCAACGCUGGCGGCGUGCCUCAGACAUGCAAGUCGAACGAUUAAGACUUCCUUCGGGAAGUGCAUAAAGUGGCGCACGGGUGAGUAACACGUAAGUAAUCUACCCUCGAGUGGGGAAUAACGUUCGGAAACGGACGCUAAUACCGCAUAACGCAGCGGCACCGCAAGGUGACAGUUGUUAAAGGAGCAAUCCGCUUGAGGAGGAGCUUGCGGCAGAUUAGCUAGUUGGUAAGGUAAUGGCUUACCAAGGCUACGAUCUGUAUCCGGUCUAAGAGGACGGUCGGACACACUGACACUGAAUAACGGGUCAGACUCCUACGGGAGGCAGCAGUCGGGAAUUUUGGGCAAUGGGCGAAAGCCUGACCCAGCAACGCCGCGUGAAGGAUGAAGUAUUUCGGUAUGUAAACUUCGAAAGAAUAGGAAGAAUAAAUGACGGUACUAUUUAUAAGCUCCGGCUAACUACGUGCCAGCAGCCGCGGU
rnacentral:rRNA from 1 species